UCUCUCCCCCUCUUCAUCCUCUCUCUCUCUCUUCAUCCUCUCUCCCUCUCUUCAUCCUCUCUGUCUCUUCAUCCUCUCUCCCUCUCCUCCUCUCCUCCCUUGCUGGUCACAGGUCAUAUCUACCUUUACCUCAGAGCUCUCCAGCACUUAGAACUAGGAAAAUUAGGGACUUCAAUGCUGGUUCAGUGUAGCAACCUUGUGAAACAACCACAAAGUCUUGGCAUGGCCCCUCCUUUGUCCUUGUGUGGAUGAAUUAAGGAGCGAGAUGUCAUUACUUAUAAAGCGAAUUGCUCAUGGAAAUCUAAAAAUGUAAUCAACCUUCUUUGCCAUUCCUGAAAACUCUGCUGCUCGUGGUCUGUCAAAAACCUUGCUGUCUGUGAGUUAGUUUUCUGCUUUAGGCUGUCUGUCUGUGAGUUAGUUCUCUCUCUCUCUCUCUCUCUCUCUCUCUCUCUCUCUCUCAACAAAACACAAACUCGCUGUAAUGAACCUUCCUGUGGCCAUUCCUCCAUGUGACAUGCUGAAGAUAGAGAGCAGAGAAGGAGAGACAUCCUUGUCUCAGGGUCUUUCCUAGGUGUGUGACAUGGUUAAAAAAGAGAGGUGGAUAGGCUGAAUCUGGGUCGUGUUCAUUAGGGCACACCGUAGCAAAACUGUUUUUACUUUCUUGCAACAGAGGUGGAUGGGCUGAAUCUGGGUUGUGUUCAUUUGGCCACAAAGUAGCCAAAUGUUUCUGUUACAAACUACCAGAUACUGGGGUAGCUGUAUGAGUCCACUGUCAAAUGUGACACAUCCUCUUUCUUUUCUUCCUCUUGUUUUUCUCUCUCUCCAUCGUUACCCAGAUUCAGAAUUUGGAGGCAAAAGCUAUUUUUUUAUUAUCUUGAGCUCUUAAAAUACCAGAAUUGUAUAAAAAAAAAUAUAUAGAUGAGUAUUUAUACCAAAAGUAUAUUAUGUAAAGUAAAGGGUCCCUGAGGAGGAGGUCUGAUGGAGGCCUGGCGCAUGCUCUGCAGAUUGUAGGUAGUAGGCCUAGCUAGCCAGGUUGAGCUAGCCUAGCGUCCCGUUGGCUAGCCAGGUUUAGCUAGCCUAGCGUCCCGUUGGCUAGCCAGCUUUAGCUAGCCUAGCGUCCCGUUGGCUAGCCAGGUUUAGCUAGCCUAGCGUCCCGUUGGCUAGAGGCUGUGUGUACAUUACAUUCAUAGGGCCAGUGAAUAGAAUGCAUAUUUUGUUUUUAUAUCAGAGUGUUAAAUCCGUGUAAUAUGUAAUAAACAACUUUACCAAAUGA